rnacentral:misc_RNA from 1 species
CCGUUUCUUUGGUCACGCUGGUUCGACUCUCCGAGCGACCUCGUGCCAUGAAAACCUCGAAACUUCUUUUUCACCGGACGAACUCCGCUUGGUGCGCGUGGCAGAUGCUAGGAGAGACCCGUCCCGGGUCCCUCGCUUCUCCUUUCCGUCUCGCUCGGUCCACGGGCGAGAAAAGCUCUUGGAAGGAAAGGAGGCGAGGUAUUACCAGUCUGUGGCGAAGACUAAGGGGGGAGUCGUCCCCCCCAGCUCUUCGGAACGUCAUGUUUCUCAUUCGAAUCGGUUCGGUACGUGGAAAUAAAAGAAGAGACCCCCUCGUCGUCGAUCUGGCGACGUUUGGGUGCGUUCAAAGAGCUUUUGGUGGUGGAUGGUCCUUUGUCGACCGACACCUGGCCGCCGACCCGAUGUUUCCCUUCCCGGUCGUCUAACAAUAUUUUUUUCUUUCACACUAACGAGGACACAAACUUUAUGUUGCGAGCCGUCGUUCUUUUCGGCGGCCGUCUCACUUAAAUUUGAAACGUAUAACGUACGACCGUAGGCGUUGGAUCACUCGGCUCGU